rnacentral:rRNA from 1 species
AUUGAACGCUGGCGGCAUGCCUUACACAUGCAAGUCGAACGGCAGCACGGGAGCAAUCCUGGUGGCGAGUGGCGAACGGGUGAGUAAUAUAUCGGAACGUGCCCAGUCGUGGGGAUAACGUAGCGAAAGCUACGCUAAUACCGCAUACGAUCUAUGGAUGAAAGCGGGGGAUUGCAAGACCUCGCGCGAUUGGAGCGGCCGAUAUCAGAUUAGGUAGUUGGUGAGGUAAAGGCUCACCAAGCCGACGAUCUGUAGCUGGUCUGAGAGGACGACCAGCCACACUGGGACUGAGACACGGCCCAGACUCCUACGGAGGCAGCAGUGGGGAAUUUUUGGGACAAUGGGCGCAAGCCUGAUCCAGCAAUGCCGCGUGCAGGAUGAAGGCCUUC